CUUUGGUUACAUGAAACCGUUUUCCCAAAUACUUCAGGCUGUUCCAAGACUUUGCACAGGCUCUCUCCAGAAUAUUGUUCUCCUAUCUGUCAAGCAGUCUCCAGUUCAAGAUCCUUUUGUGACGUCUUUGACUUUUGCAGUUCAAGUUGGUCACCACCUUCCUUCUUCAGGGUUAACUACUUGGUUAUUUUUACGUCCAUGGUAACAAGAUCUGGCAGGGAUGAUUGCCCAGUAAACGUUGGUUGUGUUGAUAGGACUCCGAUGAUUUCUCCUAUAAUUCCAUGGUUUUCAUCUUGCUGGGGUUUUUCAUCUGCCUUUGCAGGUAGUUGUAUUUUCAAUUUUUUUUUUUUUAGUUCCAGAAAAGGUAUAGUAGGGCAUUUUGUUAAAAGCUGACUAACCAUAGAUAAAUUUUUUUUAUCUUUGUGCUUCACCUUUUUUCGUUUGUGAAGUGUGAGGCAGGACUAGGUGAUUUCCUGGAUGUUGUUCUGGCCCUAAAGGUUUUGAAUAUGUGUGACUACUGAGAACAAAAAGAAAACAGUUUCUAUAAGUGGAUGUUUCUAUAAGUGGACAAAUACAUAUAAGGAAUUGGGUAAACUUGAUUUGUUCUUGGAGUUUGGUAUUUUGUGAUUGUUAGUGUUGGUAAUUUUUUGUUGGUUUGCUAUAUUAGUUACCUUUUAAUUUCCUUUAAGACCUUUUUUCACCAUGCAGAGAUAUUCUGUGAGGAGAGUGUUAACAAGCACCCUUUUAUUUUCUCAGAGGCACUUCCUGACCUCUCUUUUUCUUGUGCUUUUGGAUCUUAACCUUGAUGGGCUCUUCAGCGAAGUCUUAGCUGCCUUUCAGAGGAGAAGGUGAUUAAUGUUAAUAUAAUGUGGAUCUUUUUUCUUCAAUCUUAAAAAGUUGUUUAAAAGAAGAUUAUAAGAGGGGAGCUAUUAUUUGCAAAAGCAUGUUUAUUUUAACUGAACUGUGACUCACGUUACUAGAUAAAAUUUAAAACUUACGAUGAAAACUUUCAAAUAUUCAUAAAAACGUAAUGAACCUUUAUACUUAAAUUUAAUAACUUCAUAUACUUAAAUUUAAUGAUUUUAUUAUGUUUAUUUUUUAUAUGUUUGCUGCUCUGUUUUAAAAUAGAUUCUGGGAUACCAAAC
rnacentral:lncRNA from 1 species